rnacentral:rRNA from 1 species
AGAGUUUGAUCAUGGCUCAGGAUGAACGCUAGCGACAGGCUUAACACAUGCAAGUCGAGGGGCAGCGGGGAAGUAGCAAUACUUCCGCCGGCGACCGGCGCACGGGUGAGUAACACGUAUGGAACCUGCCCGUAGCAGGGGGAUAAGCGGAAGAAAUUCCGUCUAAUAUCGCGUAAUAACUCCGAGAGGCAUCUCCUGGGGUUUAAAGGGUAACACCGGCUACGGAUGGCCAUGCGGCGCAUUAGCUAGUUGGCGGGGUAACGGCCCACCAAGGCGACGAUGCGUAGGGGUUCUGAGAGGAAGGUCCCCCACACUGGUACUGAGACACGGACCAGACUCCUACGGGAGGCAGCAGUGAGGAAUAUUGGUCAAUGGGCGCGAGCCUGAACCAGCCAAGUCGCGUGAGGGAAGACGGUCCUAUGGAUUGUAAACCUCUUUUGUCGGGGAGCAAAAGACGCCACGUGUGGCGUUCCGAGAGUACCCGAAGAAAAAGCAUCGGCUAACUCCGUGCCAGCAGCCGCGGUAAUACGGAGGAUGCGAGCGUUAUCCGGAUUUAUUGG